CCUACGGGAGGCAGCAGUGAGGAAUAUUGGUCAAUGGGCUUACGCCUGAACCAGCCAAGUCGCGUGAGGGAAGACUGCCCUAUGGGUUGUAAACCUCUUUUGUCAGGGAGUAACGCCGGCUACGUGUAGCCGGACUGAGAGUACCUGAAGAAAAAGCAUCGGCUAACUCCGUGCCAGCAGCCGCGGUAAUACGGAGGAUGCGAGCGUUAUCCGGAUUUAUUGGGUUUAAAGGGUGCGUAGGCGGAAUGCCAAGUCAGCGGUAAAAUCGCGGGGCUCAACCUCGCUCCGCCGUUGAAACUGGCGGUCUUGAGUGGGCGAGAAGUAUGCGGAAUGCGUGGUGUAGCGGUGAAAUGCAUAGAUAUCACGAAGAACUCCGAUUGCGAAGGCAGCAUACCGGCGCCCAACUGACGCUGAAGCACGAAAGCGUGGGUAUCGAACAGGAUUAGAUACCCUAGUAGUC
rnacentral:rRNA from 1 species